GAGAAGAAGGGGAGGCUGGAUGGAUCAGGGUCCUCUGGGGCCUUCUGUGUUGAAGAGGAAGUUGUUUCACUCUUGAUGUCCCAUGGGUAGACCAGUAGGCAUUGGCUAUGAUCAGGAUCAAUUUUUGCAACUGUUUUUGGUUGUUGGAAAGGAGACAAACCUAAGAAGAGGAUUUUGUGUGCAGAGAAGAGGAUGGUGGAGAGAUUCAUUGGAAUUGGGAUUUUGUCCCCCUCAUCAUUAUGACAGUUCUUAAGAAGAGUUUAGCGUUGGAUUUUGUCUUUUUUCAACUAAAUAUGAGAUCCUUGGAGCCGACUGCCUCUUAAGAAAGAAAUAUCGCAGGAAUAUAGUGCUAUAUUUAUACUGGUAAAUAACAGUUCUCA
rnacentral:lncRNA from 1 species